rnacentral:rRNA from 1 species
AGCGAACGCUGGCGGCAGGCCUAACACAUGCAAGUCGAACGAAGUCUUCGGACUUAAUGGCGGACGGGUGAGUAACACGUGGGAACGUGCCUUUAGGUUCGGAAUAACUCAGAGAAACUUGUGCUAAUACCGAAUGUGCCCUUCGGGGGAAAGAUUUAUCGCCUUUAGAGCGGCCCGCGUCUGAUUAGCUAGUUGGUGGGGUAAUGGCCCACCAAGGCUACGAUCAGUAGCUGGUCUGAGAGGAUGACCAGCCACAUUGGGACUGAGACACGGCCCAAACUCCUACGGGAGGCAGCAGUGGGGAAUCUUGCGCAAUGGGCGAAAGCCUGACGCAGCCAUGCCGCGUGGAUGAUGAAGGUCUUAGGAUUGUAAAAUCCUUUCACCGGUGAAGAUAAUGACUGUAGCCGGAGAAGAAGCCCCGGCUAACUUCGUGCCAGCCGCCGCCGUAACAC